rnacentral:rRNA from 1 species
AGGGCUUGACAUGUACUGUUCAACCGGUGAAAGCCGGUGGCUUUCGGGCGAAGUGCACAGGUGCUGCACGGCUGUCGUCAGCUCGUGCCGUGAGGUGUUGGGUUAAGUCCCGCAACGAGCGCAACCCCUGGCGUAAGUUACAUGUGUCUUACGCGACUGCUGGUGGCAAGCCAGAGGAAGGCGGGGAUGACGUCAAGUCAGCGUGGCCCUUACGUCCUGGG